rnacentral:rRNA from 1 species
CCUACGGGCUGCAGCAGUGAGGAAUAUUGGUCAAUGGGCGGGAGCCUGAACCAGCCAAGUCGCGUGAGGGACGACGGUCCUAUGGAUUGUAAACAUCUUUUGUCGGGGAACAAAGGCGCCCACGGGUGGGCGGAUGAGUGUACCCGAAGAAAAAGCAUCGGCUAACUCCGUGCCAGCAGCCGUGGUAAUACGGAGGAUGCGAGCGUUAUCCGGAUUUCUUGGGUUUAAAGGGUGCGUAGGCGGACAGUCAAGUCAGCGGUAAAAAUGCGGUGCUCAACGCCGUACAGCCGUUGAGACUGGCAGUAUUGAGUGAGCGAGAGGUAUGCGGAAUGCGUGGUGUAGCGGUGAAAUGCAUAGAGAUCACGCAGAACUCCGAUUGCGAAGGCAGCAUACCGGCGCUCAACUGACGCUCAUGCACGAAAGUGUGGGUAUCGAACAGGAUUAGAUACCCUAGUAGUC